CCAGACCCCUCGUGUGGUGGUACCUCACUGAACUCCCCCAGGGCAGGAAUGCAGCAAGGGUAGGUGUGCUCUUCCAGGUGCGCGAGGGGUCCCUUCA
rnacentral:SRP_RNA from 1 species